rnacentral:guide_RNA from 1 species
AAAUCAAACGAACAAGGUAAUAAAGGGUUGAAGAUUGGUAUUAAAUAU